rnacentral:rRNA from 1 species
UACGUAGGGAGCAAGCGUUGUCCGGAAUCAUUGGGCGUAAAGCGCGCGUAGGUGGCCUCGUAAGUCCGCUGUAAAAGUCAAAGGCUCAACCUUUGAAAGCCGGUGGAUACUGCGGGGCUAGAGUACGGAAGAGGCGAGUGGAAUUCCUGGUGUAGCGGUGGAAUGCGCAGAUAUCAGGAGGAACACCGGUGGCGAAGGCGGGUCUCUAGUACGGUACUGACGCUGAGACGCGAAAGCGUGGGGAGCGAACAGG